UACGUAGGGUGCAAGCGUUGUCCGGAAUUAUUGGGCGUAAAGAGCUCGUAGGCGGUUUGUCGCGUCGGCUGUGAAAACCUGGGGCUCAACCCCGGGCCUGCAGCCGAUACGGGCAAGCUAGAGUUCGGUAGGGGAGACUGGAAUUCCUGGUGUAGCGGUGAAAUGCGCAGAUAUCAGGAGGAACACCGAUGGCGAAGGCAGGUCUCUGGGCCACUACUGACGCUGAGAAGCGAAAGCAUGGGGAGCGAACAGG
rnacentral:rRNA from 1 species